rnacentral:lncRNA from 1 species
UUGCUGUUUUUGUUUUUUUUUUUUUUCAUAAUAACAUUUAUAUCAUUUUUUUGUAUUUGUCGGUGCAGAUCAUUUCAGUGUCCUGUACUUACUGGCGUCUCCAGUGAACAACGUAUUUUACUUGAUUCUUCCCUAAGCGGGCAGAAAUGUAAUUGUAGAUGUUCUCUGCAGUUGCUGAAUUUUCUUCAAGAAUACAACACACACAUGCAGAAGACUGAGGGAGAAGAAAAACAAAUUAAAAUAUUUAGAGAGCAACAAAAGAGAUGGCAACAAGAGAGAGUCAUUAGCAGACAGCAACUGAAAGGGAUUAAGCAAUUAAUCUCUUCAUGAGCAAUUCAUGAAGGUCUGUUCCAUU